rfam:Cephalotus follicularis DNA, scaffold: scaffold1160, isolate: St1.
UUAGAGGUGCCACUAGGCACCCCCAACUUUUUAAAAAAAUGUUAAG